rnacentral:rRNA from 1 species
AUACGGAGGAUGCAAGCGUUAUCCGGAUUUAUUGGGUUUAAAGGGUGCGUAGGCGGUAUGGUAAGUCAGUGGUGAAAUGUCUCCGCUCAACGGUGAAAGUGCCAUUGAUACUGUCGUACUUGAAUUCGGAUGCCGUGGGAGGAAUGUGUAGUGUAGCGGUGAAAUGCAUAGAUAUUACACAGAACACCGAUUGCGAAGGCAUCUCACGAAUCCGACAUUGACGCUGAGGCACGAAAGUGUGGGGAUC